rfam:Oryza sativa Japonica Group DNA, chromosome 1, cultivar: Nipponbare, complete sequence.
AAUAAGUGUAGUUUUACACUAUUCACGUUUAACAUUUGACCGUUCGUCUUAUUUGAAAUUUUUUUAUGAUUAGCAUUUUUAUUGCUAUUAGAUGAUAAAAUAUUAAUAAUAUUUUAUAUACGACUAAAUAUUUUCAAAUUUUUUAUAAAUUUUUUCAAAUAAGACGAACGGUAAACCGUUAGACACAGAUAUUCACGACUGCAUUUAUU